UGCCUUUAUGCAGACAACAGAACAAAAGCUCAAGAGUUUGAAUAUGAAGAAUCUAUCAUUCAAGAAAGUACUGAGCAAGUUGAAGUUCAAGAGUUGUUUUACCUUGAUUAGAGACAUAGUUUAAAGGAGAUAUGUUAUUAUUUCUAUGUGCUGCAUUUUUUUCUUUUUAGGAGUUGAUAAAGAUUUUUCAUACAACGUGAG
rnacentral:misc_RNA from 1 species